rnacentral:lncRNA from 7 species
AUACAUAUAAAGAGCUAGAAAGGCUUUCAAUGCGUAUUGCCAGAUAUAUGAGUCACUCAGCAAACUGUCUUCUAAUGAUUGAUGUGACAUCUGAGUAAAUUACCAUGCUAACAUGUCAGUUUAUGCUUCAAGUCCAUAGCAUCUAUGACUGUCCAUUAGGUCAGGUUUAAAACUGAAGUGCCACAAUGAAGUACGGAAGAAACAGUCUUCAAAAUGGUCUCAUUUCAAGGAGGAGGUGAAAUGAUAUCACAUUAGUUGAGUUUGGAACAUUUUGACUAAAAAAGCAUCCAUCUUUGAGAAUGAAUACUUGAUUUAGUUUUAAACAGUUUCCAGAUCUAGAUGAGCUAUAAAACUGUUUUGAAAAAUGACACCCAAACACAAAACGCAUCAGCUUUAGAUUUGGUGACAGGGCACUGAAUACAUGACUAUAAAAUAUCAUAACUUUGAAGGUCACGCUGUCACCGUCUGCGAAGUGGAAUCUCUUCAAGGCUAUUCUGAAAACUAGUACCUGAGAGUGCACAAGAGAAGAACACCUGAUGGUUGUGCUCUGCAUCAGAGCUUUUCCAAUAUAAGUAUAGUGAACUUGAAGAAUUCAAAAACAUAAUAUGCUGCCAAUGACCACUAUUAACCCGAAGGAAAGAGCUCAUCACCUAGGUAAUGGCUUAAAAACACCAAGUCCAAAAAACAAAUACUGAACACUUCCCACAUUUCAUUUUUUUUUUUUUGGUGAAAUGCUAUACACUUCUGGAGAGAAAAUAAAGGGAUGUAAU